rnacentral:rRNA from 1 species
UACGAAGGGGGCGAGCGUUGUUCGGAUUUACUGGGCGUAAAGGGCGCGUAGGCGGCGGGUCAAGUCGAGUGUGAAAGCCCCGGGCUCAACCUGGGAAUUGCAUUGGAUACUAGCGAGCUUGAGUGUGGCAGAGGGGGGUGGAAUUCCACGUGUAGCAGUGAAAUGCGUAGAGAUGUGGAGGAACACCGAUGGCGAAGGCAGCCCCCUGGGCUAACACUGACGCUCAGGCACGAAAGCGUGGGGAGCAAACAGG